GACGAACGCUGGCGGCGCGCCUAACACAUGCAAGUCGAACGAGAGAGAAGGAGCUUGCUUCUUCGAUCGAGUGGCGAACGGGUGAGUAACGCGUGAGGAACCUGCCUCAAAGAGGGGGACAACAGUUGGAAACGACUGCUAAUACCGCAUAAGCCCACGGGUCGGCAUCGAUCUGAGGGAAAAGGAGCAAUCCGCUUUGAGAUGGCCUCGCGUCCGAUUAGCUAGUUGGUGAGGUAAUGGCCCACCAAGGCGACGAUCGGUAGCCGGACUGAGAGGUUGAACGGCCACAUUGGGACUGAGACACGGCCCAGACUCCUACGGGAGGCAGCAGUGGGGAAUAUUGCACAAUGGGGGAAACCCUGAUGCAGCGACGCCGCGUGGAGGAAGAAGGUCUUCGGAUUGUAAACUCCUGUUGU
rnacentral:rRNA from 1 species